GAUGAACGCUGGCGGCGUGCCUAAUACAUGCAAGUCGAGCGAACAGACGAGGAGCUUGCUCCUUCGACGUUAGCGGCGGACGGGUGAGUAACACGUAGGUAACCUACCUAUAAGACUGGGAUAACUUCGGGAAACCGGAGCUAAUACCGGAUAAUAUUUCGAACCGCAUGGUUCGAUAGUGAAAGAUGGCUUUGCUAUCACUUAUAGAUGGACCUGCGCCGUAUUAGCUAGUUGGUAAGGUAACGGCUUACCAAGGCAACGAUACGUAGCCGACCUGAGAGGGUGAUAGGCCACACUGGAACUGAGACACGGUCCAGACUCCUACGGGAGGCAGCAGUAGGGAAUCUUCCGCAAUGGGCGAAAGCCUGACGGAGCAACGCCGCGUGAGUGAUGAAGGUCUUCGGAUCGUAAAACUCUGUUAUUAGGGAAGAACAAACGUGUAAGUAACUGUGCACGUCUUGACGGUACCUAAUCAGAAAGCCACGGCUAACUACGUG
rnacentral:rRNA from 1 species